CAGCAGCCGCGGUAAUACGAAGGGUGCAAGCGUUACUCGGAAUUACUGGGCGUAAAGCGUGCGUAGGUGGUGGUUUAAGUCCGUUGUGAAAGCCCUGGGCUCAACCUGGGAAUUGCAGUGGAUACUGGAUCACUAGAGUGUGGUAGAGGAUAGUGGAAUUUCCGGUGUAGCAGUGAAAUGCGUAGAGAUCGGAAGGAACAUCUGUGGCGAAGGCGACUAUCUGGGCCAACACUGACACUGAGGCACGAAAGCGUGGGGAGCAAACAGGAUUAGAUACCCCCGUAGUCCCUGUCUCUUAUAC
rnacentral:rRNA from 1 species